ACAGAAAUAUCAUCUCACAAGAAGUGGUAGGCAUCUAGUGCUGUGGGCGGAUACACGAAGAUGAAUCAAGCGGCUUCUUUAAUGCGAUGAAAUGGUGAUGAAAUUAAACUCUGUUGCUUAUCGAAAAAAUACCUUUUCGGAACUCCGAGAGCCUGCGGCGAUUGGGCAAAAAGCUUUAAGAAAGAGUUGAAUUAGUUUCAAUUCGUCACAAAGAGAAAGCAUCUGCUGAUUGGAAAGUUAAAUCGCGUUGGCUUCAUUUUACCAAAAUGGGAGCGAAAUUCCUGAGCUUCGUUUUCUUCCUUUUGUUUUUAUCUCCAGCCAUGGCAUAUUUAGGGAGCUACCGGUUUGGCAAACGCAACUUGGUGGAGAAGGCUAAUGCACAGGAUGACUUCAAGCAAUUUUGCCAAUUAGCCGAGAAGCUCUGUCAUCAAAAGACUGAAUCCAUAUCCGUGGAA